AAAUAACCUUCACGUGACAGUUUCAGCGCGUUACAAACAGCUCAACGGCUUCGUCUUUAGAGGUGUGGAAAGUCGAGGACCAGGGUUUAUAAAGACCUGCUAAAACUCCAAACUUACUUUACGUCUUUCCAACCCAGUAAAGCCCGUGGGAUUAAAGAUUGCAUACUGUGCCGAUAGGAGCAUUAUACAAUCUGAUCAUAACAAUGGACACCGACCCUCCAGUUCCUGCGCCCCUCCCUGUCAUUAACUUGCACCACAACAUAAACUGGAAACUAGAAUAAAUAAUUUCAUAAUGGGUUCUGAUGCUAGCCAACAUAUUAGAGAGAAAGAUGAAGCCAGACAAAGAGCGGAACAGCUUGAGCGUGAAAAACAAGAGGUAAUACAUCAGAAAAAUAUACUGGAAGAUCAAGAAAGAGUAAGAAGGGAAAGAGAAGAGGAGAAGAGGCGAGUGAAAGACGCCAACCGAAGUAAAGAACGUGCUGAAAAAGUGCGAAUCCAGAGUCAGAACUGAUGAGACCAAGGCUCCAGUAGAGGUUGCAUCAUAAAACAUCCAAACUCUGCAUCCUUACAAGAGCUCCAACAGCAGACAAAAAGGUGCCCCAUGAAGCCUUCAUCUUACCACUUUAUACAGAUGACUUCAAGACAGAUUUAUAUUAUUGUUAUGUAUGACCUGCUUCCUGCUUGUGUGUGUGUGUGUGUGUGUGUUUGUGUGCAAAUCACUAUUAUCACCUCUCAAGUCUGUUACUAGCCCCCUCACAGCUCAGCGCUCCCUCCUUUCAUGGCUGAACCCACAUAGCUGAAACAGAGGCAGACCACAACACCUGACUCAUGUUUUCUCUCAAGCUUUGUCAUUGCUGUGUGUAUGUGUUUGUACUGCACUCAAUUUCCCUGUGGAGCAGAGGUUAGCCUGUAUGGAGGCCACAAAGAAAACAGACUGUUCUGAGACCAAAUGAGACCAAAUGUGUUAUGACUCUGUCUAGGCUGUGAGGCCAUAACAAGUAAAAGUAAUGAUAAUAGCUAACAGGAUGGAUAAUGUAACUGUUAAAGAAUAAUAAUAAAAGAACUGGAGGCACAAA